UGAACGCUGGCGGCGUGCCUAAUACAUGCAAGUCGAGCGAACAGACGCGGAGCUUGCUCCUCUGACGUUAGCGGCGGACGGGUGAGUAACACGUGGAUAACCUACCUAUAAGACUGGGAUAACUUCGGGAAACCGGAGCUAAUACCGGAUAAUAUAUUGAACCGCAUGGUUCAAUAGUGAAAGACGGUUUUGCUGUCACUUAUAGAUGCAUCCCCGCCGCAUUAGCUAGUUGGUAAGGUAACGGCUUACCAAGGCAACGAUGCGUAGCCGACCUGAGAGGGUGAUCGGCCACACUGGAACUGAGACACGGUCCAGACUCCUACGGGAGGCAGCAGUAGGGAAUCUUCCGCAAUGGGCGAAAGCCUGACGGAGCCACGCCGCGUGAGUGAUGAAGGUCUUCGGAUCGUAAAACUCUGUUGUUAGGGAAGAACAAAUGUGUAAGUAACUAUGCACGUCUUGACGGUACCUAAUCAGAAAGCCACGGCUAACUACGUG
rnacentral:rRNA from 1 species